AAAUGCUUUGCAGGCCAAAAAAGUUAAAAGAAAAGAAGAUUGGAAGUUGCUGUGCGCGCUUCAUGAAAAAAGUGGCUAAGUUUUCUUGGUGUUUUGUGACUCUAUUUUCCAGCAUAUUACAUAGUGGAUGGCUUCUUCUAGCUAUUCAAAUCCUCCAUGUGCUGCUUGCAAGUUCUUGAGGAGAAAAUGCUUGCCAGAUUGCAUAUUUGCACCUUAUUUCCCACCUGAAGAGCCUCAGAAAUUUGCCAAUGUUCACAAGAUUUUUGGUGCAAGCAAUGUGAGUAAGCUGCUCAAUGAGGUCCUUCCCCAUCAGAGAGAAGAUGCAGUGAACUCUCUAGCCUAUGAAGCUGAGGCAAGAAUGAAAGAUCCAGUGUAUGGUUGUGUUGGUGCAAUUUCUGUCCUCCAAAGGCAAGUCAUUAGACUCCAAAAGGAAUUAGAUGCUACCAAUGCUGAUUUGAUAAGGUAUGCCUGUAAUGAAAUGCCACCAACGUCAUUUGGAAGAUCAUCAAGGAUGGGUCAUGGAGGAUCAUCAUCAUCUGCUUCUUAUGAUCAAAAUUCUGCUUUGUAUUAUCCUCCUCCUUGGAAUAAUGACGCUCAAGAGAGAGGAGAUCAUGGUAGCAUUUAAUUUUUAAAUUUAUAUUUUAUUUUAAUAGCAUAUCCUGUAUAACUGUACUUGCAGUACUUUUAACCCCUUUAGGGUUUUCUUCUCUGAAAUUACUAGCCCUGUACUUUGGCACCACAAAAAAUUGG
rnacentral:misc_RNA from 1 species